rnacentral:tRNA from 1 species
GCACGAUAGUCUGAUGUGGUGAGGUGGUAGGUUAAAAACCUGCUUAGGUCGGUUCGAUUCCGGCAUCGUGCU